GUGGAUUAGAUAUCCUGGUAGUCCACGCCGUAAACGAUGAUAACUAGCUGUCCGGGCACUUGGUGCUUGGGUGGCGCAGCUAACGCAUUAAGUUAUCCGCCUGGGGAGUACGGUCGCAAGAUUAAAACUCAAAGGAAUUGACGGGGGCCUGCACAAGCGGUGGAGCAUGUGGUUUAAUUCGAAGCAACGCGCAGAACCUUACCAGCCUUUGACAUCCCGGUCGCGGUUGAGAGAGAUCUCUUCCUUCAGUUCGGCUGGACCGGUGACAGGUGCUGCACGGUCGUCGCCAACU
rnacentral:rRNA from 1 species